CAGAUUCGGAAGAAACUUUGCCGCCAUCUGACAAAGAAACACAGCCACCUCUGGAGGAAUGUGGUCAGGAAGUUGAAUGGUCUCAGUCACCAUUAGGAUAUUUUGAUUAUUAUUUUUAUAUUCCAUUCUAUGGUGAUCGGAGACUAAGAAAACAGUGUAGACAAAUGAGCGUGCAGUUCAGGAGGGGGAAGUUCUAAAUAACUCGUAUACAGCACUGUUGCAGCCAAUCAGGUUUCCUUCUCUGUGUGAAAUGUUUAAUAUAUGUAAAAUAUGUUUAUGCAAUCUUUAAUUUUGUCAUAUAAACAAAUAUAUAGUACUUUUUAAUGUGGGGUUAGAUUUUCUUUUAAAAAUGUAUAUCCAUUUAUUACCUGCCCUGAAUUUUGCAAUUUUUAUUCUAUAUUAAAACAUUUACUCUUUUACAUAUAGGGUACAAUGUGUAUAAUUUCUGAUUAGUAUUCACUAAUUAUUUAAGAAAAUGUAUAAUUUGCCAUUGAUUAUGGUGACAUUAAAAAUAUGUGGUGG